AGUGAACGCUGGCGGUAGGCCUAACACAUGCAAGUCGAACGGCAGCACAGUAAGAGCUUGCUCUUACGGGUGGCGAGUGGCGGACGGGUGAGGAAUACAUCGGAAUCUACUUUUUCGGGGGGGUUAACGUAGGGAAACUUACGCUAAUACCGCAUACGACCUACGGGUGAAAGCAGGGGAUCUUCGGACCUUGCGCGAUUGAAUGAGCCGAUGUCGGAUUAGCUAGUUGGCGGGGUAAAGGCCCACUAAGGCGACGAUCCGUAGCUGGUCUGAGAGGAUGGUCGGCCACACUGGAACGUGGACACGGUCCAGACUCCUACGGGAGGCAGCAGUGGGGAAUAUUGGACAAUGGGCGCAAGCCUGAUCCAGCCAUACCGCGUGGGUGAAGAAGGCCUUCGGGUUGUAAAGCCCUUUUGUUGGGAAAGAAAAGCAGCAGGUUAAUACCCCGCUGUUCUGACGGUACCCAAAGAAUAAGCACCGGCUAACUUCGUG
rnacentral:rRNA from 1 species